UGCCAGCAGCCGCGGUAAUACGGAGGAUGCAGGCGUUAUCCGGAUUUAUUGGGUUUAAAGGGUGCGCAGGCGGGACGAUAAGUCAGUGGUGAAAUCCUACAGCUUAACUGUAGAACUGCCAUUGAUACUGUUGUUCUUGAGUACAGUUGAGGUAGGCGGAAUGUGUCAUGUAGCGGUGAAAUGCUUAGAUAUGACACAGAACACCGAUUGCGAAGGCAGCUUACUAAACUGUUACUGACGCUGAGGCACGAAAGCGUGGGGAGCGAACAGGAUUAGAUA
rnacentral:rRNA from 1 species